UACGUAGGGUGCGAGCGUUGUCCGGAAUUAUUGGGCGGAAAGGGCUCGUAGGCGGUUUGUCGCGUCGGGAGUGAAAACCAGGUGCUUAACACCUGGCUUGCUUUCGAUACGGGCAGACUAGAGGUAUUCAGGGGAGAACGGAAUUCCUGGUGUAGCGGUGAAAUGCGCAGAUAUCAGGAGGAACACCGGUGGCGAAGGCGGUUCUCUGGGAAUGACCUGACGCUGAGGAGCGAAAGUGUGGGGAGCGAACAGG
rnacentral:rRNA from 1 species